CCCGCGAGUCUCCUGUCCGCGACCGUAAGAGCAGACGGUAAUUAGGACAGGAUCUUCAUAAACGUGGAGCCAGCCGACUGAAUCGUUAACAAAUACCACCACUGAGAAAACGCAGGCCAAGAGUAACACUGCAGAGACAGUUAAGAAGCACAAAGUAUAUUUUUAAGGAAGGGGUACAGUCCUUGAAGUCGGGAAGUAAUAAU
ensembl:misc_RNA